CCCAAUCUUUCCUCCCCUAGCCGCCACAUGCUUAUCUCUCCCUCUGCCCUCCCCAUCUCUCACCCUGUCUACCUCCUACACGAACAGCCCUAUCUCCUUCCUCACCAGCGCCACUGCCCCUCCUCCCUCACUGUGAUUCCCUCUCCUCCUCCCACACCAGCGGCCGGCGACGACAGAGCGCGUAUGGAGGAGCAGCAGCGUCGCCGGGUACGCAUCUCUCCCUCUCUCUCGUUUUUUUCUUCUAAAUCUCACUUUCUCUCUCGUAGAUUUCUUGGUUGGUGGCCGGCUCGGCGUGCAAUUUUGGCAAGCAACAAGUUAGCCGGAUUAUUUGGUGAUUUGUUUUUGUAUACAAAUUUGUAUAUAGAAUCUCUAAUUCCGGAUUUAAGUGAUUUGUUGUGGUGUCAAGAUACUGCUUGUAUGUAUAUACAGAUUUGCCAACCCGCAGCCUCCUCGACCAACGCCUGGAGGACAAGCGGCUUGCGGGACCUGGAGCAGCGGCGGCGCGUGGCGCUUGGAGGAGCAGCUGACGGCCAUGACGCCGGAUGUGGCCGCCCUGACAAUUAUGCCAGCAAUUUGUGUGCAAUUAGAACAAAAUAAACAUGGCUAGCAUAUAAUUAUAUGCUAGCCAUGAGUUUUUUUUAAUUAUGGCCACAACUCAUCAUUGUCGGUCCCUACUUGUGCCCGCCACUACGUGUACCACAUCAGUGACGGUCCGUAGGCCCGUUACUGAUGUUCAGUACAUUAGUGACAGGAAGUUAGUGACGGGCGGCCCGCCCGUUACUGAUAACCGUUUCUGUAGUAGUGCGCCCGGGUAUAAAUGACUACAUUUGUCUAAAGUUGUCUAUCCUCAAGAAAGUAAGUGCAUGAAAGUGGCAAUUCUUAAUGACAUAAUAUAUUAUGCACAGAGUCACUCCUAGUUAAUUUGGUUUCCCUUCAAUUUUCCCUUGCUUAAAAAUGACAACAUCUAAUUUCGAACUUAUUGAAUUAUGAUCAUGUAAAACCAGAUAUCUCAUUUCUCUAUGUUCCUAUGCUGUUUGCACUGUAUCUUUUCAGUAACAGUAUGUUCCUAUGUUUUCUGUACUGUAUCUUUUCAGGGUUUUUUUUCUAGGGUUACAUUGGCAAUGAGAAUAGAGUGAUGUAGCUACCAGGUUGUAUUGGUAGUCCCAAGUUGUAGUUUCGACCAUUUCUUAAAAGUAGCCAAGUUUUGCUCAAAAUUUGAAUGUGCAUGGUUCUGAAGUACUGAGAAAGCUGAAGGAAUUCUUGGACAAGUGUGGGACUGUGAACUGACAUGGUUUAACACUAUGUGAGCUGCAUGUCUGUGUCAAGGAUUCAAGAAAACAAGGCUCACUCAGAAACGUUUGGAGGAAUCUGAAACAGGUUUGGUGGUUUAUCCUCGGAAGGAUGAAACAUUGGGGGAUGUUUUUUGCCCCCGGGGCGAUGGCGCCGGAGGUGAUGAGGCUCUCGAAGCUGCCGAUCUGGUCGGACAGCGUGGGCGCGCCGCGUGGCACCGGGUACACGCCGGAGGUGGCGGCCGGGAAGUUCAUCCCCGUCGGGUCGCAGUUGCCGUACGUUCGCCCCCGUUGAGGCGUACGCGUACGGCGGCGGCGACUUGUUGAAACCCAUCAUGGCCGCUGCAAUUAAUAUAUACACGCAAAUUAUGUAAGAUCCAACAUGAUCAAUUGGUACGUACGCACGAAUGCCGAUUAAUGCAUGCAUGCAUGCGCAUGGAUCAAUGUAAGGUGGGUAUAAUCAAGAUUAAGCAAAGUAUUAUAUUAGUACA